GACGAACGCUGGCGGCGUGCCUAAUACAUGCAAGUCGAGCGAAGUUUUUCUGGUGCUUGCCCUAGAAAAACUUAGCGGCGAACGGGUGAGUAACACGUAAAGAACCUGCCUCAUAGACUGGGACAACUAUUGGAAACGAUAGCUAAUACCGGAUAACAGUAUUUCUCGCAUGAGAGAUAUUUAAAAGUUGGUUAUGCUAACACUAUGAGAUGGCUUUGCGGUGCAUUAGCUAGUUGGUGGGGUAAAGGCCCACCAAGGCGACGAUGCAUAGCCGACCUGAGAGGGUGAUCGGCCACACUGGGACUGAGACACGGCCCAGACUCCUACGGGAGGCAGCAGUAGGGAAUCUUCCGCAAUGGGCGAAAGCCUGACGGAGCAACGCCGCGUGAGUGGAGAAGGAUUUCGGUUCGUAAAGCUCUGUUGUUAGGGAAGAAUGGAUAUGUAGUAACUAUACAUGUAAGAGACGGUACCUAACCAGAAAGCCACGGCUAACUACGUG
rnacentral:rRNA from 1 species